ACCUAAGGCCAUACCGCCCUGAGAACACCCGAACCCAUCUGAUCUUGGAAGCUAAGCAGGGUGGGGCUUGGGUCUUGUCUAGGGUU
rnacentral:rRNA from 14 species